ACUGAAGGAGUAAUUUGAGCCUGUAUCCUUCGCUAAAUACCUUUGGUAAGAUUGUGAAGAGUGGUCUCAGGCCCCUGAUAGAGCAUCUGCAUAGUCUGAUGCUCUUCCCAGUAACUCCUGGGAAUGACAGGAGCAAGGGAUCUUCAUCCUGAAUAUUGCCACAUCUUUGUGUUGGCUCCCCACAGAAGCAACUGUAAGAAAACCUCAGGCACAGCAGCCCAGCACAGAGGGGGACCCUGCCCAGCCCUUGGCCCUGCAGAGCAGAGAAGGAAUUCAGCAUGGCCUUCCCCAGUAGAGUUAUUCAGAGAUCAGGCUCCAAGAUCCCACCCUGAACACAUUCUUGGGAAGAAAAAGAAAUUUCUCUGUUCACUGACCAAGUGCCAAGAAGUGUGUUUAUGCAGCCCCUUCUUUGAGAACAGUGUUUGAUGCUGUUCACAAAGCCUCCCUCAUCCCCAUUAGGCAGGGGUCCAAGCUCCUCCAAUCUUCCCCAGCUUUCAGAUCUUGGACCUGGAGCUAUCCAUGGUUUGUGCAACACGCCCAGUUCUAAUGUUCUUUCUCACUGCAAACAUCUGAUUUCGUGCACAGUUCCUGUUUUGGCACUAUAGUGUCCAAAUCAUCCCAUCACAUCACAAAAUUGUUCAGCUCAAAACAAAUGGCCCCAGCAUUGACCCACCUUAGGAACCACCAACACCACAAAUGUGGGGAAGGGAGAUUGUUUGUUGCAAUUUCUGAACUGACAUCUUAAUUUAAGGAAUUUUAGGAAUCUCUGAUGAGGAGAUAAAGAUCAGAAAUGAGAGAUGCUCUGGAGAGAUACUCUUGAGCUCCAGGUAGUGGACGAAAACCUUGAUGAAUUUAGGAGCUGGCAAAGACUGCUGGUGUGCAAAACUGUUCUAGAGUGUCCCAGGUACAUCUCCACACAGACGUGGUCAAUAGCCUCUGUGACUGGACCAGAGGGAAAGCAAAAAUCUCCACUGCCUGUGAAGUCCAAAGCUUUUGGAUCUCAGGAGCAGAAGCUAUACAAACCAGCACUUUCUGUGUCUCUGAGCUAGUGGAGUAGUUUUAGGGACCUUGAUAUCAAAGAGCAGUGAGAACUGCAAGUCAAAUGGUUCUCAUUAGUGGCUCAUUUUCUUGGUGUGAGGGAUGAAAGCUAAAGCAUUUUGGUGGAGGGGAAGAGAAUAACUACAGAAGAUCAUCCUUUCCCCAGGCAGUGACUCUAGAGCUUGGCAUGACAUUGAAGCAGGGCUGUAUUGCACCGGAGAGACUAAGGCAACAAGGGCAAGCUGUGCUUUGAAAAGCCACAUGAGCAUGGUGUUUCUGGAGCUUGUAGGCUUGUAGGGGUCUCCUGCUUUUCUGGAGAUUUCUUGGGGAAGCUGAUAUGCCAUGCUUGAAUGGGAAGCAUUACAGAAAAAAAUAUAUACGUUUUUGCACUCAUUUUCUUGAAUUUUAAGAGCUAUCAACCUGCCAUCAAGUCAGUGGAGCAUUACAGUCUGGUGUCUCAGAUCAGUUAGUAAACUAACAGCCAUUAGCAGGCAGUAGUCUGAAUUUUUAGUGUUGAAGAACCAGUGUUAAAGGAGGACUCUGGAGAAUGGUUCCAGGACUAAGGAGUGAGCUGAUGAAGGAUUGUUCCUCCCAAUGGCCAAAUGGUGAUGUAGCAAGUCUUCACUGGUGGUAGAGAAAAAACUCAUAUGUUUAGAGCAGCUGCAAAACAACUGGCCAUGCUGACCUUCCAAACAAUAGAGAGAAUUCUCUGAAAUAUCUAAGAGACUCUUGGUGCCCUUGCAUCUGGCUGUUUGCAUGCUUAGGGCAGAUCCACUGCUUUGGGACCCAUCCACUUGAAAUCUUUACUGUGAGGGUUUUUUCUCUCUUCUGAACACUCGCAUUUUUUGGAAAGCAAGGUGCAGCCCACAGGUCUAGUCUUUUCAACCACAGAGCGCCAGCCCACUUUGAGUCCAGCUCACAGCUGUGAGCCAUGACAGAUUGUAAAUCUGCAGGCUGGAAUGGGAGAACAUCUGGGUGGCCACCAGAGAGGGCUGGGGGAGCUGUCAGGGGCACUGCCUGGCUUUUGAUCAGCCCUAGGAGCUGGCAACGUUCAGCAGGCGCUAAUCCGCUCUUUUACCGAUUCUCAGCAAUCAGCUUCCCAUCACAGCUGAAGGAGGGAAAAAGUUACUUGAUCACAAACCUGGUGUUGAAACAUACCUUUAGCUUUUUUCUAAAUUUCUUUAAAUUAUAAAAGAGGAAGGUAGGAGGGAAAUACAAAGAAAUAUACACCAAAUAUUCACUCCACAGAGUAGAACUCUGGAUUAACUCAUGGUACAUUUUCAAACAGAGUAUUUGCCUUUGUGGUUUCUGCUUUCUUGAGAUUUCACAUGAUUUGGAGAAGGGAUUUUAGUCUCUUGAGAUCACACAGGCAACCGUCAGGAUAGUCAGCUGUGGCCUCCUUCUGCUGGAGGCUCGUCCAGCCUGCUAGAUAGCUUCACAUUUGUGUGCAGCCUUCCCAUAUAAAAUGGAUAGAAUACUGUUCCCUUCAUAGAGAAGAGGAAGCUGAGAGCCUCAGCUCAUGCUGCAAAGCUGUGGCUGGGAACUAGAUCCAGAUCCAAUGAUCCCAAAUGCCUUAGCUGUAAAAGUCUCAUUGUGAAAUCCUUUGUUUGAGCUGUCUUUUCAUUUGCAUGGUGCUGUUUCUGCAUUUGAUGGACCACCCUAGAACACAUGUUGUCUCCUCAACCUAAAAGUGGACCUAUCAUCUAAUUACUGUCAGAGCAUGAACUCUAUUCACUUGCUGGGAUCACAGAACUUCCUACAGAAAUGCUUAUCGGCUGCAGAGAAAAUGGUGCCCAGUUAAAAUUUCAUUCACAGAUGGGGAAAAAAAAUCCUCUGAAGACUGACCAUUUGUAUCACAGCUGUCUUAAGGGGAAGAGGGAGACUAGAGACUUGCUGUGCUCUGAAACUGCAGUCAAUCCCUAACUCAAAGAUUUAUUGCCCAGGCAGGGUCCCACUGGAGGCUCAGCACUCCCUGGCCUGUAUGGUGUGAAUGGAGCCACAAGUCAGGUGGCUUUCCCAACAUCAUGCUUUGAAUCCAGCUGGUUCAAGUGCAAAACGGAAAACUCCUGAGCUCCGUUACAGCUUCUGACCUGUGGGAUAGCCCUGUCUCUCUGAAUUUAGUAAGCCUUUAAAUGGGACCAGGUGUGCAGUAUAAGGUAAAAGAGCCCAAGGGAAGCCUCUCACUCACUGGUAGUCACAACCUUGUUCUGUAGGUCAACCACCAGUGUCACAAGGACACAUAGAAAUGUUCUCUACCACCAAAGUAUGUGUCACUGUCCUUGAUCCUAAACAUACAGGCUGCCUUUUAAUUAGCAACACACGGCCCAGAAGAAUGACAAGAUGUGUCUGAAUUUACCUCUAUCUUAAUUGCAUCAGGAAGUUGCCUUCUGGCGCUGAUCAGCUCUGAAACUCUUGGCACAUCUCAUGCUAAUGGAGUGAGGCUGCAGCUGGCAGCUCCUCCCAGGCUCUCCCUGGGCUCUUAUUCACCAGCCUCUGAGUAGCACCUGCUGCAGGUGGAGCCUCCUGGGAGUACCAAACUGGUCGAGUGUUCCCGUGUGGGAGAAUAGGAUGCUCUACUGAGUCACCUCAGUGCUGGCAAGCAGAGGAGUUACAAGGCUGCAGUGGGAUGGAGAAAGGGCUUGCUGUGUUUCUUCUCUCUGCCUAAUUUCCCCGUGACGGAGUGUGGCCAGCCUCACUUCCUCUCCCAAAGCAGAUGUGUGGUUUGGGACUGCAGCUCCCGGAGCACUGGGCUAUGCUGUCCUGUACCAAAGCCCAUCCGUGUGGUGGCCUUGAUGUUGCAGCACACAGUGAGUUCAAAAUGGCAGGGAGGUAUUUGUGUUGAGCACAUCUCCCUUGUUAUACUGGGUGGCCCAAGUCUGCUGACAGUUUUAAUUUAGGAAGCUGAUGGUAGUUCUCUACACACUGUGUCUGCCUGUUAGUUUGGCUGAGCUGGAAACACAUCCCCUUCACUCCCCAUGGCAUAGCCUAUUUGGGGUCACAAAGUGCCUUUGCUACCAUGGGAAUCACGCAUCCCCAAACUCCCCUCCUCCACUUGCCCUUUUCUUCUCGUGUUACAGCCUAGAGAGCAUCGCAGAGAGGUUUCUGAGGUCUGAGAGCCCGGCAGCAGCAGGAUGACAGCAUCCCUGCCUGCAAGAGCUUCAGAGUUAGAGGGUGAUGUCCAGUGGCCUUCAUGGAGUCCAUAGCCCAGGAAGAAGGCAGCAAAAAGGUCUGGAGCUCUCCAGACAGCCCUUAGUACAUGUGAACAGCCCCACUCCCCUUUCCAUAGACUGGUUCCUUGGACACAAAUGUGCACUGUGGCAGAAAUAGGGUCUGUGUAUGGGAGAGGCUGAGCUGGAACAGGCACUGGGGCUGAGACAGCCUUCUUGUGAUUGCUUUUCUUUAUUUAGUACCUACUGCUGCAGGGCAGUUUAAUCCUAGCACUUGCCUGUCUUCCCACAUUAAAUGCCACUGCUCCGACUCUGCACACCCAGGUGCUAACAGAUUAACAAGAUGAAGGAGCAGGGGGUGUAUAAUUGUGAUACCGCUAUAGCUUACACAGAAGAUAAUCAGUGUGUGCCGAAAAGGCAGUGGCAAAUGGCUCUGGGAGGAGAUUUCUCCCUAGAGGAGCAGCAUUUCACACCACCAGCCUCUGUAAUGAGGUGAAAACUACGCAUCCUUAGUCCCAGGGGUCCUGCCAUGGGGUGUAAGCGACCGACUUAGCUCCCCUGCAGCAGCCCUCAAGCACAGCAAUUUGCCUUACCCGGGGCUGUGGAUACACCUCGUGCUUCCUCAGUUUGUUUUGAUGCUCUUCUACUGCGAAACCGUAUUUAAAGAAAAGAAAUGAGUAAAUUCUGCCAAACCAAAGGGUUUGACGUUUGAUUGCAAGUUUUGAGAAGAGAGAUAAAAUGCUUUUUUUUUUUCCUCAGCCAUGACCACUUAGAGUUUGGUUGACACACUUCCCACCGCAGCAGUGCAGUCUUUCAGAACACACUGCUUUCUUAAGCCAUCCUUUUGGUCUGGGCUGUGUGGUUUCUGUGGUGGGUCUCAGGUUUCCUUGUCAGAUUUGGGAGCUGUGUGUCUGUCCUCAAAACCACUGAGCAUGUCUCACAGGCCCCCUUCCCUGCACACCUAAGUGAAGAGUUGUUUUUUAGGUACUGUUUUCUAUUGCUCAGGGGCUGAGAAAAUGCCAGUGAAAUAGGGCAGAGCAUGAUGGAGAAUGAAUUUCUCUGGAGGAAAGAGAGAACCGCAGACGCCUGCCCUUCUAUUCCUGUUUACCUUUGCUUUCAGGAGGUCAAUUAAAUUGUGGGCAUAAACUUACAUUGCGGUUUGCAAACUGAUACUCACCAGAAGGUGUUCUGGCGUCACAGAGCAUUUUGUGUUUCAGUUUCUUCUUUCCCAGCUCCUUUAUGGCUGGGUAAUAACUUGCAACACAUGUAUCACAGCAACAUUAUUUGCACAACAUUUCUGCAGCAUCACAAUUAAAUUUAGUUAGCAAAAUUCCCAUUAAGAUGUUACUCAUGUGGAAUGACCAACAACCCAUUUUGAACUCGGACUUUCCCAUUUUUAUUGUGUGGUGCAGCUGCGGGAUUUCUUCAUAAGCUGUGAUUGAAAGGUUCAUGGUUUUUUAUUCUGUGUAUGUUGAGAAAGGAUGGGGGGGUAAUGGUUCAGGCAGCAAACAUUCAUUUGGCCUCCUACCCACUCAGUUAUCCCCUUUCACAUGGGACAUAACCACCCCAUGGAACCCCUUGCUGCAGGAUAUUGUGGAAAACAACCAUCUCAGUGGCUCAAGCAUCACAACAGAUGAUAUGAAACCUCUCAUGGUCAAAUACAGUGGUCUAGCCAAAGCUCCAUCUCUGGAUGUGUCUCCAGUGCAAGCUGUCAGGUGCUAAAAGAGUGCAGAAAGGAAAAGAUCCCUCUGUCAAUGCCCAGUUUUUAUACUUCAGUUGCUGUCUAAGCUAGGAGAAUGAACUAGGUGGACUUUUGAUCUGAUCCAGUGUAGCACUUACUUCAAAUUUACAUUGGCUGGGAGUCAAGCCUGGUUUCUAUCACAGUGUGUUGUGCAAUUUUUGCUCUCAUUUCCAGUGUUGUUCCCCUCUGCCACAUCCCACAGAGGUUAGUGAGUUUGUAUCUCAUGGAAAAGUGAGUAUUUUCUGACUGCACUCACAUUUGUACCACCAAGUCUUGCCCAAUUUUGCUUCUGAGUUCUUACUCAGAGAACUGCUUGCACUUCAAAGAAAGUGCUUACAUGCAGCUGACUUAAAUAGACAUCCUGGAGCGAGACUCCAUCAGCUCUCUAUCCAUGUGAUGGCUGUCCCCUCAUUUUAUCACCCAUUUCCUCGGUACUGGGCUCUAAGAGAACCUCUCUUAGGCUCUCCCUUCCCAUGGAUACUGUCCUGACACAGAACCCAAGAGCUGCUAUCUUUGGUCCUCAAGUCAGGAGGAGCUUUUCUUUGCUAGACUGACCUAAGGAGAAGAGUCAACUAAUUCAAGAAGAGCUUUCCAGCAAGAAUCAAUGGGAUAUAGUGUGUUUUUCAAAUUCCCUUAGUAAAGUCCUGAAGUCAAAGGCAGAGGCUGGUAGAUCUGUCAAGUGGAACUGCCAGGAGUUGUUGGGAUUACUGUCCACUCAUCAACCAGACUUUUCUACAAAUCUGCACUGUUGCAUUUGUUGGCAAGUCUGUCUUUUUAGCAUCUUGAGAUCCCUUGCAUUAUACAAUACUCCAGAAUUUCCCUGAUCCCGCAGCUUGACGUGCUUGCACCCAAACCUGACAAUACUUAUCCUUCAUUCCACAUUCCUCCCUGGCAAGACUCCCUCACUGGUCAGCAGCCCUUCUUCACUGCCAUGUGCUGAUUGCUUUAAUGAUCUAGAAAAGAAGAUGUACAAUAAUACAAAAAGGAUGUAAUGAGAUAAUGAGAUAAAAGCAAUGUAAAUGCCUCCUGGAUAAGAAAGAGCUUGACAAAGCUUGGGGAGUCACUCCUCAGUGGUUCAGUGAAGAGGGAUCCCCUUUGCAAGAGAAAGUCAGAGUGAUGAAAACAAGUAAAGGUACCCUGGAGCCCUGGUCUGACUCAUGAACUUUAUGGGGCUCCAGGUGAUAUGUAGCAAUGCUCAGGGAGGAGGCUGGCACUUGUAGUCAUGAUGGGACCACUGCUGAGGUCCCAACUCUUUUGUAUCAGCUGCUAUGAGCCACAGGUCUGAUCACCCACCCCCACAGGAGACAAGGCAGCGACAGUGGCAAGACCCUGAGCAUUCCAGGAUGAAAACUACCUCAGGAAGGAGAAAGGGAGUCAUCAAUAUGAGUGUGCCAGUGGUCUUAAAAGGGACAGUUGGGAACACCUGCCUUUUUCCCUUAUAAGCACAAAAGUGAUAGAGGAAAAAAGUUAAAGAAUGGGGAAUUCCAGUGGAAUACACAUAUUUUGACACCAGCCAGUGUCAGCCACAUUUUGACUCAGCAGUACUCAGAAAGGGCCUGGGUAGCUACAAGGCACAGAGCCAUUGCAAAUAACAGUGAGUUAUGCAAUUUUUCUUCUCAUUCUUGUUGCUGGCUUCUGAGAGUUGGCCUAGGGAGUUUCCCUGUCGGGGAGCGGGGAAAUGUCUGACUUCAGUUAUCUCUGUACCAUCAGGCCAACUUCUACAAUUUUGAAGACAGUCAGCAAGGCUCAGAAAAACUGCAAAUAAUGACCACUUGUCAGAAGGAGUAUGAGUUAUCCUGCUCCAGGACCUGCCUUUGGCUGAUCAUUGACUGAGCUGCUUAGCUGGCAGGUAUACCCAUGACAGAGGAUGAAGAGCAGAAAUAUGCUUACUCCACACUUGAGCCCUCCAAGCCCUGACAUCUCUUCUAGGAAACCUGGUGCUGGCCACUGUUGGACAUAGGACUGAAAGAGGGAUUCAUUCCACGUGUGUAUUUCCAGUGGUCCCCUUUCUUUUUUUCCUCUGGUGCUGCAAGCACAGUUUCAGACUUUGGCUCGUACACCUGCCAUGACCUCCCAUGCUUUAAUGUUUGCAGCACCUGUAGAGAAACCUGGAGCAUCCUGCAUUUGAUUGCCUGAUUCCACCAGCUACAAGUCUGGAGAUGACCUGGCUGCCAUGGUGACAGCCUGGAAUAGCACCUGGACCUUCAGGGUGUAGGAAGAGGGUCACAUAGUGUCAGAGUGGUUUGAAAGAGAGGCAAAAGAUUGUCUGCUCCAUAGUCACUGUGGGUUUUGUGUUGAGCCAGCUUGGUGGAAUCAGCAGUUCUCAGGACUGCUCAAGACUGUCAUACCUCACCUGUCUGGGGACUCCAGCAAUACUGACAGCUGGCAUGUUGCAUUAUUAGUCGAGUACUGUUUUCUUGUGGCUUUCUCUUAGCUGCAGUUACAGCCUGUCUAGUCAUUAGCAGCUCCAGGCUGACACACAAGCAGAGAGAAGACUGCUCACCACUCAUCAAAUGCUGAGCUUAUUUGCAUGCUUUCGGUUUUUGUGCAAUUUUUAAAAGUGCAAACAGAUGUCAUGAGAUUUUUAUCUCAUUACCUUCAUAUGGUUUUUAUCCCCAUUAAACUUUCAGAGAAAUACUGUAUGCCACCACGGUUUUGGUCCAGCAACCAUAAGAAGCCCCAUGCAAAGAACAGCCUAAAGCCAGGUAGCUUGGUUACAUAAAAACCUAGAUACUCCAGGACUGAAAUGUUGUACAAACUAGAGUCUUAACAGCUCAGACUGAUCCAAGCUACAGAAAGCUGUCUUCCUUUUUCAUAUGCUCUUCCUUCAUUUACAGCUCUGAACAUCCUGGUAUGAAACUCCCUCCUCUCUCUUCUGAUGAACUGCUUGCCUUCAGUGCACAUUGUGUCAGCCCAAGACAUUGUCUCCUCAGAGUAGUCCUUGUGGUUGGAAAGUGCUGUGCUGCUGGGCUGCAGGCACACGGAUGGGGGUGCACCCCUGACAGGCUCCCCAUCAGGCAUCAAAGGGUUCCUGGUGAGUCUGGUGUCCAGGCACCAUGUCCAGCCUUUGCUGCCUGCUACACAGCCCGGUAGAGGAUCUGAAGUGGACUGGAGGGUAUUGUAAGGUUUAACUUCGCUUACUGGAGCUCAUGCCUCAGAGCAGCACCUGCACCUUUACAGGAGACCAUGCUGGUGCUCCUUUUCAAUAAAAAUACCUCCUGGGCCUUUGAAGCUCAAAUUGAACAAAUCUUCCUUCAAGCUGCUUUACAUUGCCUCUAGUCCAGGCCAUCAGCAGGAAAUUCUUCUGCGUUUCUGCAUUACUGUGCCAGCAACCAGGAAUGGCAGCAGCAUCCCAAGUGAAAAUAUAGGAGAUAAGAACGGUCUGGAUCAAAUUAAGCCUCCAUCUCGCCCAAAGUUUUCUGGCAGGCCAAUUUUUGGUUGCCUCUGAGAGAAAGGCAAGAAGCUUUGCAUCAGCGGGAUAAUGCGCUUCCAAAAGAGUUUCUUCCUCAGAAGUUGUCUCUCUUGCUUAGAAGUUGUCUUCUGCCUUGAGGCAGGGUGGUUUCUGUCCAAAGCUACUUGAUUGGACUUUGUUCUUUGUUUAUUUU